GACAGAGGGUGCAAACGUUGUUCGGAAUUACUGGGCGUAAAGCGUGUGUAGGCGGUCCGCUAAGUCGGGUGUGAAAGCCCUGGGCUCAACCCAGGAAGCGCACUCGAAACUGGCGGGCUAGAGUAUCGGAGAGGUUGGUGGAAUUCUCGGUGUAGAGGUGAAAUUCGUAGAUAUCGAGAGGAACACCGGUGGCGAAGGCGGCCAACUGGACGAAUACUGACGCUGAGACACGAAAGCGUGGGGAGCAAACAGG
rnacentral:rRNA from 1 species